UGGGGAAUAUUGCGCAAUGGAGGGAACUCUGAUGCAGCGACGCCGCGUGAACGAAGAAGGCUUUCGAGUCGUAAAGUUCUUUUAUAUGGGAAGAUAAUGACGGUACCAUAAGAAGAAGCCCCGGCUAACUACGUGCCAGCAGCCGCGGUAAUACGUAGGGGGCUAGCGUUGUCCGGAAUCACUGGGCGUAAAGGGUUCGCAGGCGGAAAUGCAAGUCAGGUGUAAAAGGCAGUAGCUUAACUACUGUAAGCAUUUGAAACUGCAUAUCUUGAGAAGAGUAGAGGUAAGUGGAAUUUUUAGUGUAGCGGUGAAAUGCGUAGAUAUUAAAAAGAAUACCGGUGGCGAAGGCGACUUACUGGGCUCAUUCUGACGCUGAGGAACGAAAGCGUGGGUAGCAAACAGG
rnacentral:rRNA from 1 species